rnacentral:rRNA from 1 species
GACGAACGCUGGCGGCGUGCUUAACACAUGCAAGUCGAACGGUAAGGCCCUUCGGGGUACACGAGUGGCGAACGGGUGAGUAACACGUGGGUGAUCUGCCCUGCACUUCGGGAUAAGCCUGGGAAACUGGGUCUAAUACCGGAUAGGACUCCGGACUGCAUGGUCUGGGGUGGAAAGCUUUUGCGGUGUGGGAUGGGCCCGCGGCCUAUCAGCUUGUUGGUUGGGUGAUGGCCUACCAAGGCGACGACGGGUAGCCGGCCUGAGAGGGUGAACGGCCACACUGGGACUGAGAUACGGCCCAGACUCCUACGGGAGGCAGCAGUGGGGAAUAUUGAACAAUGGGCGCAAGCCUGAUGCAGCGACGCCGCGUGAGGGAUGACGGCCUUCGGGUUGUAAACCUCUUUCAGCACAGACGAAGCGCAAGUGACGGUAUGUGCAGAAGAAGGACCGGCCAACUACGUGCCAGCCGCCGCGGUAA